rnacentral:rRNA from 1 species
UACGUAGGGUGCGAGCGCUAAUCGGAAUUACUGGGCGUAAAGCGUGCGCAGGCGGUUUUGUAAGCCAGAUGUGAAAGCCCCGGGCUCAACCUGGGAAUGGCAUUUGGGACUGCAAGGCUUGAGUGCGGCAGAGGAGACUGGAAUUCCUGGUGUAGCAGUGAAAUGCGUAGAUAUCAGGAGGAAUACCGAUGGCGAAGGCAGGUCUCUGGGCUGAUACUGACGCUCAUGCACGAAAGCGUGGGGAGCAAACAGG